rnacentral:rRNA from 1 species
CUUGCCUCACAUAAGAGGUCCAGCCUGCCCAGUGACAUUGUUCAACGGCCGCGGUAUCCUAACCGUGCGAAGGUAGCGUAAUCACUUGUUCUUUAAAUAAGGACUAGUAUGAAAGGCACCACGAGAGUCAUACUGUCUCCUUUCUCUAAUCAGUGAAACUAAUCUCCCCGUGAAGAAGCGAGGAUAAAAAUAUAAGACGAGAAGACCCUAUGGAGCUUAAAACAAGUAACACUUGCCCACCAAAUUUCUAAUUUCAGAAAAACUUUCUACCCCGGCAUUAUGAUUAUUAGUUUUCGGUUGGGGUGACCACGGAACAAAAAACAACCUCCGUAAUGAAGAGCACUCAUCUACUUAAUCAAGGACCACAGCCCCACAUAUCAACAAAUUGACACUAAUUGACCCAACACGUUGAUCAAUGAAC